CGCUUGAUCACCGCCAAUGCCAAGUCGAACCGAUUCAUCGAGUUCCAUUUAUCAACGGUGACCGCGGCCACUGCAUUCUCGUAAAUCUUCUUUAAACGCGCUUCUCGUGACAAUGUAUGAAUACUCGAUUAACCGGAUUUCUUUGUUACCGAUCGAACGCGAUUGGCAUUGAUCAAUUCUUGUAAUUUUGUUUUAGAAUAGAAGUUUUGUUGAAAUAAUUUCACGAAUGUUGAAUAAAAGUUUUUCAUUAAUGCAUUUUAUGCAAUCUAAAUAUUUAAAAAGUACAAGUUUCUAAUGAAUUUUCUAUAAUUAAUAAAAAUAAUUAAUACAAAUUAUUAUUAGAUUUUAUUAAAGCAUAAAAAUAUUGAAACUUUUUUCGGGAUAUUUGCAAAAAAAGAAUUGCUAUCACAUAAAUUGUUAUAAUGCUGCUUAUAUUAUAUGACAAAGUAUGCAUCAACAUAAUUCAGAAUCUCGUCCUUUUGUAAUAUAUUCAAAAAUCAUCGAAAUUGAAGAAAAAAAGUUGAAUGUGCAGUUUAACUUAGAGGAACGGAUGCCAUCGAAAUCAUGACCGCGUACAAACCUAUUUCGAGAAAGUUAUACGAUGUUCCGUAGCAAUAAAUUUGAGGCGAUAUGCCUACGCUUGUGUUACACAACAUUCCUCUUCGUACAUAACUUAUAAAACGAAUUGCAUCGACUUAUUGGGAAAGAUCCAAAAUAAUUGAAAAUUCCGUGACGACCAACUAAUUUCUUAAUUUACUAGUUUCUUUAUACAUUAUUCAAACGAAGUGGCUUCUCAUUCAACAUUUUCGUCGCGAAAUCUCGAUGACACGGACGUUUAUUGAAUAACGAUUUAAGAACAGGAAUUAAUGAUUUACUGAGUUUCGGAUGUAUGGAUGUUUGUAUUCAUCAGGAGUAAAACAUAAAUGAAGAUA